UCACGGCGAUUUCUCCUGUGAAAGCCACUCGGGUGCCCAAUACUCUUAGACAAGUAUUCAGGCGCCGUCUGAUCCUCUCUGACAAUAAGUAUGUAAUCUGAUCUGUUAUAUUUGACCGUCGUUCUCUUUUUCCUGUUGUCCAUUUUAUUAAAAAAGCUUAUAUUGAAUCCUCUUCUGCCAUUUUAUUCUCAUCUUACAUUAGUGGCCACGAACUUGGAAUAACCCUUUGGGGUGAGAGUGCUAUUCGAUUUAAUGGAGAGAGUGUGCAUUUCAUGGGUCAAAUAGACCCGGCUAUCGUUAUCUUUGUCGGCACCACCGUUUGUAUGUAUGAAGGUGACUAGGAAACAACCCGAUGAAUGUGCUUGCUUGUUUCCCGCUGCCUUCGAUUUAUUUAAUGGUAUUAUUAUUUGUCAUGAGCUAGGGUCCAAGGAAUUAUCUGGUGGAUGUGCUUGCAAAUGAUAUGUUAACCAUGAUAUACCAGAGAUAAACAUAUUUAGGAGCAGGUGAGGGCCACGGUCUAUUCAUACGGCGUUUGUUUUCUCUAUUUUGUACUCAAGUAUUGUAUUCUCUCUGCUUCUUAGGCUCUCAGUCAUCUUCCCUGCCAUUGAGCAUCUUCCUGCACCGUCGAAGAUUAUUCUCCAGGUCCAACAUGCCGAUGUGCAUCCAAUGGUGUUAUUGACCCACCUCAUAAACAUCAACUUAUAUCAAAAGGAGGUACCAUUGUAACACCAUGCAGUUUUGGCAGUCUUCCCAUAGUGCUUGCUAUUUAUAUCUUUACAGAUAGAUUGAUUAUGCACUACGAUGCUUGACUUCUCAGGCGGGAACCUUCCGAUGCAAUGUGGUGAUUACCAGGGUUUCACAUUUGAAAAAAUGGUGGGCUACCUUCUGUGCAGACUGCCAUCACAUGUCCAUGCCAGCUACAACAUCGCUUACCCAGCCAGAUGUUUAUAUGUGCUCUCGUCGAUCUUGUUCAUGCACUAGCGCUACAAUUGGAUGAGAACAAUUCAAUGUUAUAUCAAUCAAUGGUCAUUUGCUCUCCCUGCUCAUUUCAUCUAUGUUAAUGUUCAGGUACACAUUGUUUGUCCAUCUAUGUUAAUGUCCAUCUACAUUUGUUUCCUUCGGUGGAUCUCCAGCUCAGUUUCCCCUUUCCAGUCAGCGCCGCCUCUAGGGUUUCACCUUCUCACCCUCCUGGUGAGUUUCUUCUGCUUUCGAUCCGCUUGUCUAGGUCGAUGUCCUCGGACGAUGUAUCCAACUUGUUUGCUUCGUGGUCUUGCUUCUCUCUUCUGUUGUUGGUGUGUUCCUUACAUUAUUAGUUUUGUUAGGGAUUGCCUUGAAGAACUUUUGAUUUAUGUCGAUCUAGAGCAACAAUGUAUUGAUUCUUGUCUUGCUAUAGCAUCUGUGAUCUAAUUGCCGCCCUCUUGUUGUUGCUCUUGCUAGAUGUCUUGUCUGGCUCUGUCCGAUCUACGUGCUGGUUGGGACAAACAGACCGUGUGCGUCCGUGUGUCUCGCCUAUGGCAUUACCGUGGUGGUUUAGAGAAUGGACCUGUCAAGCUUCUGCACAUGAUCCUCAUCGACGCUCAUGUGCGAUCCAGGACUCUUUAGAAAUGUAUCGCUUUUGUUUUGUGUUAGUCUAUGUCUGAUGCAGCACGAAACUGUUAUAGGGUAACCAUGGCUAUGCAGUUGUUCCGACAGAUUUUCUUGUCACUUAUAUUGAUAUGCUGCAUGAAGGCGUGGUGUAUGAGUUCAGUCGUUUCAGCGUGAUGUCUUCAUCAUGAACCCGGUCGAUGCGUCGUUGAUGAUCCAAUUUACACAAUUUACAAUUGUGAAGAAUUUUUUCGAUCUGAACGACGUAUUUCCGGAGUGGGCAUUCAACCUGACCCCACUAAAUGAAUUACCCCUUGCAAAUGAUACUCCCCAAGCCUACAUAGGUGACACAUAUUACACUCCUUGUCUCUUCUUAUGAUCUAUGAUAUGAUGUUCGGUGGACACCUCUGUACACUAAAUUAUAGUUUGCGCAUUUACUUGUGUAGAUGUUAUCUGGGUUAUCACGGCGAUUUCUCCUGUGAAAGCCACUCGGGUGCCCAAUACUCUUAGACAAGUAUUCAGGCGCCGUCUGAUCCUCUCUGACAAUAAGUAUGUAAUCUGAUCUGUUAUAUUUGACUGUCGUUCUCUUUUUCCUGUUGUCCAUUUUAUUAAAAAAGCUUAUAUUGAAUCCUCUUCUGCCAUUUUAUUCUCAUCUUACAUUAGUGGCCACGAACUUGGAAUAACCCUUUGGGGUGAGAGUGCUAUUCGAUUUAAUGGAGAGAGUGUGCAUUUCAUGGGUCAAACAGACCCGGCUAUCGUUAUCUUUGUCGGCACCACCGUUUGUAUGUAUGAAGGUGACUAGGAAACAACCCGAUGAAUGUGCUUGCUUGUUUCCCGCUGCCUUCGAUUUAUUUAAUGGUAUUAUUAUUUGUCAUGAGCUAGGGUCCAAGGAAUUAUCUGGUGGAUGUGCUUGCAAAUGAUAUGUUAACCAUGAUAUACCAGAGAUAAACAUAUUUAGGAGCAGGUGAGGGCCACGGUCUAUUCAUACGGCGUUUGUUUUCUCUAUUUUGUACUCAAGUAUUGUAUUCUCUCUGCUUCUUAGGCUCCCAGUCAUCUUCCCUGCCAUUGAGCAUCUUCCUGCACCGUCGAAGAUUAUUCUCCAGGUCCAACAUGCCGAUGUGCAUCCAAUGGUGUUAUUGACCCACCUCAUAAACAUCAACUUAUAUCAAAAGGAGGUACCAUUGUAACACCAUGCAGUUUUGGCAGUCUUCCCAUAGUGCUUGCUAUUUAUAUCUUUACAGAUAGAUUGAUUAUGCACUACGAUGCUUGACUUCUCAGGCGGGAACCUUCCGAUGCAAUGUGGUGAUUACCAGGGUUUCACAUUUGAAAAAAUGGUGGGCUACCUUCUGUGCAGACUGCCAUCACAUGUCCAUGCCAGCUACAACAUCGCUUACCCAGCCAGAUGUUUAUAUGUGCUCUCGUCGAUCUUGUUCAUGCACUAGCGCUACAAUUGGAUGAGAACAAUUCAAUGUUAUAUCAAUCAAUGGUCAUUUGCUCUCCCUGCUCAUUUCAUCUAUGUUAAUGUUCAGGUACACAUUGUUUGUCCAUCUAUGUUAAUGUCCAUCUACAUUUGUUUCCUUCGGUGGAUCUCCAGCUAAGUUUCCCCUUUCCAGUCAGCGCCGCCUCUAGGGUUUCACCUUCUCACCCUCCUGGUGAGUUUCUUCUGCUUUCGAUCCGCUUGUCUAGGUCGAUGUCCUCGGACGAUGUAUCCAACUUGUUUGCUUCGUGGUCUUGCUUCUCUCUUCUGUUGUUGGUGUGUUCCUUACAUUAUUAGUUUUGUUAGGGAUUGCCUUGAAGAACUUUUGAUUUAUGUCGAUCUAGAGCAACAAUGUAUUGAUUCUUGUCUUGCUAUAGCAUCUGUGAUCUAAUUGCCGCCCUCUUGUUGUUGCUCUUGCUAGAUGUCUUGUCUGGCUCUGUCCGAUCUACGUGCUGGUUGGGACAAACAGACAGUGUGCGUCCGUGUGUCUCGCCUAUGGCAUUACCGUGGUGGUUUAGAGAAUGGACCCGUCAAGCUUCUGCACAUGAUCCUCAUCGACGCUCAUGUGUGAUCCAGGACUCUUUAGAAAUGUAUCGCUUUUGUUUUGUGUUAGUCUAUGUCUGAUGCAGCACGAAACUGUUAUAGGGUAACCAUGGCUAUGCAGUUGUUCCGACAGAUUUUCUUGUCACUUAUAUUGAUAUGCUGCAUGAAGGCGUGGUGUAUGAGUUCAGUCGUUUCAGCGUGAUGUCUUCAUCAUGAACCCGGUCGAUGCGUCGUUGAUGAUCCAAUUUACACAAUUUACAAUUGUGAAGAAUUUUUUCGAUCUGAACGACGUAUUUCCGGAGUGGGCAUUCAACCUGACCCCACUAAAUGAAUUACCCCUUGCAAAUGAUACUCCCCAAGCCUACAUAGGUGACACAGAUUACACUCCUUGUCUCUUCUUAUGAUCUAUGAUAUGAUGUUCGGUGGACACCUCUGUACACUAAAUUAUAGUUUGCGCAUUUACUUGUGUAGAUGUUAUCUGGGUUAUCACGGCGAUUUCUCCUGUGAAAGCCACUCGGGUGCCCAAUACUCUUAGACAAGUAUUCAGGCGUCGUCUGAUCCUCUCUGACAAUAAGUAUGUAAUCUGAUCUGUUAUAUUUGACCGUCGUUCUCUUUUUCCUGUUGUCCAUUUUAUUAAAAAAGCUUAUAUUGAAUCCUCUUCUGCCAUUUUAUUCUCAUCUUACAUUAGUGGCCACGAACUUGGAAUAACCCUUUGGGGUGAGAGUGCUAUUCGAUUUAAUGGAGAGAGUGUGCAUUUCAUGGGUCAAACAGACCCGGCUAUCGUUAUCUUUGUCGGCACCACCGUUUGUAUGUAUGAAGGUGACUAGGAAACAACCCGAUGAAUGUGCUUGCUUGUUUCCCGCUGCCUUCGAUUUAUUUAAUGGUAUUAUUAUUUGUCAUGAGCUAGGGUCCAAGGAAUUAUCUGGUGGAUGUGCUUGCAAAUGAUAUGUUAACCAUGAUAUACCAGAGAUAAACAUAUUUAGGAGCAGGUGAGGGCCACGGUCUAUUCAUACGGCGUUUGUUUUCUCUAUUUUGUACUCAAGUAUUGUAUUCUCUCUGCUUCUUAGGCUCCCAGUCAUCUUCCCUGCCAUUGAGCAUCUUCCUGCACCGUCGAAGAUUAUUCUCCAGGUCCAACAUGCCGAUGUGCAUCCAAUGGUGUUAUUGACCCACCUCAUAAACAUCAACUUAUAUCAAAAGGAGGUACCAUUGUAACACCAUGCAGUUUUGGCAGUCUUCCCAUAGUGCUUGCUAUUUAUAUCUUUACAGAUAGAUUGAUUAUGCACUACGAUGCUUGACUUCUCAGGCGGGAACCUUCCGAUGCAAUGUGGUGAUUACCAGGGUUUCACAUUUGAAAAAAUGGUGGGCUACCUUCUGUGCAGACUGCCAUCACAUGUCCAUGCCAGCUACAACAUCGCUUACCCAGCCAGAUGUUUAUAUGUGCUCUCGUUGAUCUUGUUCAUGCACUAGCGCUACAAUUGGAUGAGAACAAUUCAAUGUUAUAUCAAUCAAUGGUCAUUUGCUCUCCCUGCUCAUUUCAUCUAUGUUAAUGUUCAGGUACACAUUGUUUGUCCUUGCGAAAGAUCGAAGUGGAGAGGCUGAAUUUGAAUUGUUUGGCACAAAGGCUCAACAAAUCAUCGAUCGAUCUGCUAGCCAGGUCCUUCGCAACAGCACUCACAUGGCCCUGCUAUUCCCAAUGUUCAUGUAGUGGCCUCAAUGCUAAGGAAAACCCCGCCUGAACUCAGUGGUCUCCUUUCCAUGAGAUGUAAGUUUGUUGUUCGUGCAUCGCCUGAAAGUUUCUUCGGAAGGUGGCCGAUGUUCCAUGUCGAUGCUAUUGAGUCCUUUGAGCCCGUCAAAUCGAACCUCUCUAUGAUAGAUUUGCUUACGCCAUCAUGAAGUGAUGCACGCAAGGAACUUCUUAUGAGAUCAGUGUGGAUGUUCCCUAGAGUUGAUUUUCGGUCUCCUGAGUGAUCUCUAGAUCUUUUGAUAAUGAACCUUUUUAUUAGUAGGAUUGUAAAUAUAUCGGUUCUGUAAACAGUAUUGUAUUAACUAUGACACUAUGGUCUUUUACCUUGGGACUAGGCUGCUGUUGAAAACAUGGUUAAAUAUAAUGUUCAUGUGCGUUUCCUUUCACUUAAAGAUCAGUCUAUUCACUUGACUGUAUG
rnacentral:lncRNA from 1 species